rfam:Bordetella bronchialis strain AT17976, complete genome.
CAUUCGAUUGGCGCCGAUUUGCCUGAUCCGCUUGCGGGCGCCUGAUAAAUCCAGCUAAAGAGGUCUGCAUGACUGCAAC